rnacentral:rRNA from 1 species
CCAAUAGCGUAUAUUAAAGUUGUUGCAGUUAAAAAGCUCGUAGUUGAAUUUCGGGAUCAAAUUGUUGGUCGUGCCUCGGUACGCACUGGUAUUAUUGGUUCCUACCUUCUGACGAACCGCGAUGUCAUUAAUUUGGUGUCGUGGGGAAUCAGGACUGUUACUUUGAAAAAAUUAGAGUGUUUAAAGCAGGCUUACGCUUGAAUACAUUAGCAUGGAAUAAUGAAAUAGGACGUUUGAUUCUAUUUUGUUGGUUUCUAGGAUUGACGUAAUGAUUAAUAGGGAUAGUUGGGGGCAUUAGUAUUCAAUUGUCAGAGGUGAAAUUCUUGGAUUUAUUGAAGACUAACUACUGCGAAAGCAUUUGCCAAGGAUGUUUUCAUUAAUCAAGAACGAAAGUUAGGGGAUCGAAGACGAUCAGAUACCGUCGUAGUCUUAACCAUAAACUAUGCCGACUAGGGAUCGGAUGAUGUUAAUUUUUUAAUGACUCAUUCGGCGCCUUACG